GAUGAACGCUGACAGAAUGCUUAACACAUGCAAGUCUAUUGGAAGCUUGCUUCCGAUGGCGGACGGGUGAGUAACACGUAAAGAAUCUGCCCUUUAGUCUGGGAUAACAUCUGGAAACAGUUGCUAAUACCGGAUAUUAUAAUUCGAUGGCAUCAUCUUAUUAUGAAAACUAUAUGUGCUAGAGGAGGACUUUGCGGCCCAUUAGCUAGUUGGUGAGGUAAUGGCUCACCAAGGCUUCGAUGGGUAGCCGGCCUGAGAGGGUGUACGGCCACAAGGGGACUGAGACACGGCCCUUACUCCUACGGGAGGCAGCAGUGGGGAAUAUUGGACAAUGGGAGAAAUCCUGAUCCAGCAAUUCUGUGUGCAUGAUGACGGUCUUCGGAUUGUAAAGUGCUUUCGACAGGGAAGAAUAAAUUGACGGUACCUGUAUAAGAAGCGACGGCUAAAUACGUGCCAGCAGCCGCGGUAAUGUCAGUG
rnacentral:rRNA from 1 species